AAUGUAAGCUAGCGAAAAGGAGGGUGGCAAACUACUAAGAAACAGCUUCUGCAUUGCUUCAGUUGCAAAGAGGAAAAAAAACCGAACAGAAAAAAUUCCUGACCGCAGCAGCCCGGGCUGAGUGGAGCCUCACUUAAAGAGUACAAGUGAUGUCAUCAGUUCCCUCUCAGCCCUCCCCUUCCCUGCUCCUCCUGAUCCUCCCUGUUGCCGACGGCCUUUUUGCACUCACUGCUCCCUAACUUCCUUUUCCCUGGCCCCUCCCGGGAAGCCGGCCCCUAAAGGUAGCGAGGGAAUCCUGUGGGCGCAAGCUGGGAAGAGACUGGCGAAUAAGCGUCGUUAGGAACUGGAGUUGCGGGCCGUUAGCGCCGGCAGUCUGCUGCGGAAAGGAUGGGCUGCAAGAUCCUAGCGCCCUCUGCGCGCGACCCGGGGGAACAGAACGCCGAAACCCACCCGCCGCUCGCCGCCCACCCCAGACGUCGGGCGCGAGUGGUCCCAGUAGGGGCAAGCUGCCAUGUGUGACAGACAUCAUCAGACUCCAUAAAAGCUCAUGUUUCUGUGACUAGGCACCAAGGCUUUCUGCCAACAGCCAUGUGAGUGACCCUGGUGAGCAGUAGAUCCUGCAGCUCAAGUCAAGCUUCCAAGUGAAUGCAGCCUGGACUGACAUCCUGACUGCAACCUCAUUACAGAUCUCAAACCCAAUAAAUCUGCUUCACAAAAA